UACAGAGGGGGCAAGCGUUGUUCGGAAUUACUGGGCGUAAAGGGCGCGUAGGCGGCCUUCUAAGUCAGACGUGAAAUCCCUGGGCUCAACCCAGGAACUGCGUCUGAUACUGGAAGGCUUGAAUCCGGGAGAGGGAUGUGGAAUUCCAGGUGUAGCGGUGAAAUGCGUAGAUAUCUGGAGGAACACCGGUGGCGAAGGCGGCAUCCUGGACCGGUAUUGACGCUGAGGCGCGAAAGCGUGGGGAGCAAACAGG
rnacentral:rRNA from 1 species